rnacentral:lncRNA from 13 species
CUUUAUUCCACCCCCUCAGACAAUAUUCAACAUGCUGUAAUCAUCAUAGCGACUUAUACUCUCUCUUUGGUUGACAGAAUCUGGAGUUUCUCAAUGCAAUGUCAACAUGUAUUAACUAAAGAACUAAACAAAAUAUUAAGAGUGUACUUAACUAAUGGUAACUGAGGAGCAGAAGAUACUGUUCAAGGACAUUCAGUAUACCAGGUGAGAGACUGAACAGCCACUGCUGUGCGUGCAGCCACCCAUGUGACACUCACUGAAAAGCAGCCACAGCUUGAGAUCAGCCAUCUACAUUUGGCCAACCAAAUUCCCUCUCCUAAAAUGUGGAAUUGGGACAUAGGGAUACUUCCUUGUCAGCAUUUGAAUUUAUAAAGGAUGUUAAGGCAGUGGAAGUAGCAGCCAUGG